UGAACGCUGGCGGCGUGCCUAAUACAUGCACGUCGAGCGAACAGACGAGGAGCUUGCUCCUCUGACGUUAGCGGCGGACGGGUGAGUAACACGUGGAUAACCUACCUAUAAGACUGGGAUAACUUCGGGAAACCGGAGCUAAUACCGGAUAAUAUAUUGAACCGCAUGGUUCACUAGUGAAAGACGGUUUUGCUGUCACUUAUAGAUGGAUCCGCGCCGCAUUAGCUAGUUGGUAAGGUAACGGCUCACCAAGGCAACGAUGCGUAGCCGACCUGAGAGGGUGAUCGGCCACACUGGAACUGAGACACGGUCCAGACUCCUACGGGAGGCAGCAGUAGGGAAUCUUCCGCAAUGGGCGAAAGCCUGACGGAGCAACGCCGCGUGAGUGAUGAAGGUCUUCGGAUCGUAAAACUCUGUUAUUAGGGAAGAACAAAUGUGUAAGUAACUAUGCACGUCUUGACGGCACCUAAUCAGAAAGCCACGGCUAACUACGUG
rnacentral:rRNA from 1 species